AUUGAACGCUGGCGGCAGGCUUAACACAUGCAAGUCGAACGAUGAAACCUAGCUUGCUAGGUGGAUUAGUGGCGGACGGGUGAGUACAACUUAGGAAUCUACCUAUUAGCGGGGGAUAGCUCGGGGAAACUCGAAUUAAUACCGCAUACUCCUUACGAGGGAAAGGGGCCUGACCACUAAAUUUAAUUUAUAGUGUAUUUUAUUUACAAUAAUAUAAUUAAGUUAAAUUUAGUGGUCAGGUCUCACUAAUAGAUGAGCCUAAGCAAGAUUAGCUAGUUGGUGGGGUAAAAGCCUACCAAGGCGACGAUCUUUAGCUGGUCUGAGAGGAUGAUCAGCCACACUGGGACUGAGACACGGCCCAGACUCCUACGGGAGGCAGCAGUGGGGAAUAUUGGACAAUGGGGGAAACCCUGAUCCAGCCAUGCCGCGUGUGUGAAGAAGGCCUUUUGGUUGUAAAGCACUUUAAGUAGUGAGGAAAAGCUAGAUGUUAAUACCAUCUAGCCCUGACGUUAACUGCAGAAUAAGCACCGGCUAACUCUGUGCCAGCAGCCGCGGUAAUACAGAGGGUGCAAGCGUUAAUCGGAAUUACUGGGCGUGAAGAGAACGUAGGUGGUCAAUUAAGUCAAAUGUGAAAUCCCUGAGCUCAACUUAGGAACUGCAUUUGAUACUGGUUGACUAGAGUAGGUGAGAGGAGAGUAGAAUUCCAGGUGUAGCGGUGAAAUGCGUAGAUAUCUGGAGGAAUACCGAUGGCGAAGGCAGCUCUCUGGCAUCAUACUGACACUGAGGUUCGAAAGCGUGGGUAGCAAACGGG
rnacentral:rRNA from 1 species